ACGAUUCAAAACUAACAGAAUUCCAAAUCAAAACUAACAAACAAAAAUCAACACUAACUAACAACAAUCAACACAAACAAAAUAGAAAUCUGAACCUUUUGAACAAAGCAGCAACGCGAUCUGGAGACAGAUGCGGUUGCGACAAACAGAUAACGACGAACAGCGACAGAGGCAGUCAGGCAGAGGCGGCCGCAAGCCCGCAACGAGCAGAGGAGCGAUCUGGACUGGAGGCAGAGUGAGGCGGUCGCACGUUUGCCGUGAUUGUGAAUCUGAAUCUGGAGAAGGGAGAGAGGAAGGCUGGAAUAGAGAGGAAGAAAGAGAAAAUUGAAUUAGGUUUAGGUAUUGUUGUAAUUUUUGAGUUUUAACAAGGCCAUUUUAGUCAUUUUACCUAUAAAUUUUUUUUUAUAUUUUUUCU
rnacentral:lncRNA from 1 species